rnacentral:rRNA from 1 species
CACGUAGGGUGCGAGCGUUGUCCGGAAUUAUUGGGCGUAAAGAGCUCGUAGGCGGUGUGUCGCGUCGGCCGUGAAAACCUGCAGCUUAACUGUGGGCUUGCGGUCGAUACGGGCAUCACUGAAGUUCGGCAGGGGAGACUGGAAUUCCUGGUGUAGCGGUGAAAUGCGCAGAUAUCAGGAGGAACACCGGUGGCGAAGGCGGGUCUCUGGGCCGAUACUGACGCUGAGGAGCGAAAGCGUGGGGAGCGAACAGGA